rnacentral:rRNA from 1 species
CAGCACCUCAAGUGGUCAGGAUGAUUAUUGGGCCUAAAGCAUCCGUAGCCGGCUCUGUAAGUUUUCGGUUAAAUCUGUACGCUCAACGUACAGGCUGCCGGGAAUACUGCAGAGCUAGGGAGUGGGAGAGGUAGACGGUACUCGGUAGGAAGGGGUAAAAUCCUUUGAUCUAUCGAUGACCACCUGUGGCGAAGGCGGUCUACCAGAACACGUCCGACGGUGAGGGAUGAAAGCUGGGGGAGCAAACCGGAUUAGAUACCCGAGUAGUCC